rnacentral:rRNA from 1 species
AUUGAACGCUGGCGGCAGGCUUAACACAUGCAAGUCGAGCGAGCGGCGGACGGGUGAGUAAUGUCUGGGAAACUGCCCGAUGGAGGGGGAUAACUACUGGAAACGGUUGCUAAUACCGCAUACCAUCAGAUGUGCCCAGAUGGGAUUAGCUGGUAGGUGGGGUAAAGGCUCACCUAGGCGACGAGCCCUAGCUGGUCUGAGAGGAUGACCAGCCAAACUGGAAAUGAGACACGGUCCAGCCUCCUACGGGAGGCAGCAGUGGGGAAUAUUGCACAAUGGGCGCAAGCCUGAUGCAGCCAUGCCGCGUGUAUGAAGAAGGCCUUAGGGUUGUAAAGUACUUUCAGCGAGGAGGCGUUACUCGCAGAAGAAGCACCGGCUAACUCCGUGCCAGCAGCCGCGGUAAUUC